rnacentral:lncRNA from 1 species
CGAAACGCAAUGACCAAAAUAAAUUGCCCAAAACUGAAAAAGAAAUUACACAGAUUCAAUUAACAAAAUGAUGGUUAAUAUAAAGAAAUAAAAAUUAGAACUUUGAAGAUUCACAACUCAGAUUCAACACAAUACAGAAAUUCAAUGUAUAACACAAGAAUGAAUAAGAAAAAAGGACAACAGAAUCACACGAGCUUGAAGAAGAAUUGAGAAGACUCUAAGGAACCACAUGCAGAAGCAGGUUGGGUCGUUUCUUCCAAAAACACCCUCACGAAGUAAUGGCGUUGUGGCUGACAAAGAAGAAAGUUUCGUGAGAGUAGAACAAACCAAAGUUGUCUCAGAUUAACCAAACAGAGUCGAAGAACGAAGCAAGCUGUCUUAGGUUCAUGUUGAGGGUGACAUUGAAAUUGGGGAUUUUAGGGUGAGAUUCAUGUUGACGGUUGAAAUUGAGGGUGAGAUUGAAAUUGGGGGUGAGAUUGGGAGGGUUAGGUUUCAGAUAGAGAGUGAGAUUGAAAUGGAGGUUUUAGGGUUUUGAAAAGUGGGAACCGUGGGAAUGAAAUUGAGAAAGCGGGAGAGAUGAAAAUAUUUUGGGUGAAAAGCGCAAUUGAC